GACGAACGCUGGCGGCGUGCUUAACACAUGCAAGUCGAGCGGAAAGGCCACUUCGGUGGUACUCGAGCGGCGAACGGGUGAGUAACACGUGAGUAAUCUGCACUUGGCUUUGGGAUAGCUACCGGAAACGGUGAUUAAUACCGGAUAUGACCACUUCUCGCAUGGGUUGUGGUGGAAAGUUUUUUCGGCCAGGGAGGUGCUCGCGGCCUAUCAGCUUGAUGGUGAGGUAAUGGCUCACCAUGGCUUCGACGGGUAGCCGGCCUGAGAGGGUGGCCGGUCACAGUGGGACUGAGACACGGCCCAGACUCCUACGGGAGGCAGAAGUGGGGAAUAUUGGACAAUGGGCGGAAGCCUGAUCCAGCAACGCCGCGUGAGGGAUGACGGCCUUCGGGUUGUAAACCUCUUUCGGUAGGGACGAAGCGCAAGUGACGGUACCUGCUAAAGAAGCACCGGCCAACUACGUGCCAGCAGCCGCCGUAAGAC
rnacentral:rRNA from 1 species